rnacentral:rRNA from 1 species
GACGAACGCUGGCGGCGUGCCUAAUACAUGCAAGUAGAACGCACAGUUUAUACCGUAGCUUGCUACACCAUAAACUGUGAGUUGCGAACGGGUGAGUAACGCGUAGGUAACCUGCCUGGUAGCGGGGGAUAACUAUUGGAAACGAUAGCUAAUACCGCAUAAUAUUGAUUAUUGCAUGAUAAUUGAUUGAAAGAUGCUAUUGCAUCACUACCAGAUGGACCUGCGUUGUAUUAGCUAGUAGGUGAGGUAACGGCUCACCUAGGCGACGAUACAUAGCCGACCGGAGAGGGUGAUCGGCCACACUGGGACUGAGACACGGCCCAGACUCCUACGGGAGGCAGAAGUAGGGAAUCUUCGGCAAUAGACGAAAGUCUGACCGAGCAACGCCGCGUGAGUGAAGAAGGUUUUCGGAUCGUAAAGCUCGGUUGUAAGAGAAGAACGGGUGUGAGAGUGGAAAGUUCACACUGUGACGGUAUCUUACCAGAAAGGGACGGCUAACUACGUG